UACGUAGGGUGCAAGCGUUGUCCGGAAUUAUUGGGCGUAAAGAGCUCGUAGGCGGUCUGUCGCGUCUGCUGUGAAAACUCAGGCUUAACCCUGAGCUUGCAGUGGGUACGGCAGACUAGAGUGCGGUAGGGGAGACUGGAAUUCCUGGUGUAGCGGUGAAAUGCGCAGAUAGUCAGGAGGAACACCGGUGGCGAAGGCGGUUCUCUGGGCAUUAACCUG
rnacentral:rRNA from 1 species